UUAUAUUUCAAAGCUGGUGACAUUGGCCC
rnacentral:piRNA from 1 species